AAAUAAGUUAAAAAAAAAACUAACUAAGAAAAAAACCACCGCAGCCCUUGUUACCAAUUUCUAAGUUUUAUAAAAAAAAAAUAUUGAAAAGCAUGUCCCUCACUCUCUCACGCACCAUUCCCGUUCCUUUUUCUUUACGGUUGAAAACCCUAGUGCGUUAAGUUUCCUCCACGUACGCCACGAACGCCCUGCACCUUUCAUCUCCUUCAUCAAGAGCGGCCAAGACAUCUUCCGUCCCUUGAUCCUAUCCGCGCUCCAUCCUUCUUCAGUUCCGUCGCCAACACAUUGAGGGGUGUUGCGACCGUGGGCUCCAAACAUGACAGAGACGAUGCGUUGAGCCAUGUCGUAGUGGGGGUAUGCCUUAGAUGUAGAAGUUUUGUGCCGUAAAGAAGAGGUGCACUGCUGAUUGCAUUGAGAUGAAGCCAAUAAACCGCAAAAAAACCUCCUUCGCUUGUCAGCAGCAUCAGUAAAGAGAGCAAAGGGUCUUGAAGUAAAGUAUGUAAGUGAUGAACAAUGCGGAGAAGUUUUCCCCAUCGAUUCAGUGAGUAACCAAACGAAAAUGGAGUUCCUAUGGUUGGUGUGGAAUCAUGGCCCUUGGAAUGUCUAGUUGGCAGCUUGCAUGUUAUUGCUCCAAAACGUUUUGUCAAGGGAAAGAAACCAAGUCAGCUUUAGAUGAUGCAAAGAAAGAUGCAAAUGGCUUGAGUUAGAUUUGGAUCAUCCAAGGAUUUGCUAGCUACUAGCUCAUUCGAGUAUCUUGGAGAUGUCGGGAGCAAUCGUUUUAACUCCUCAUACUUGAAACUGAGUAGCAGACUGUUGUCAGAUUCAGGUCGUUCGACUUAUUUCGUUUAUAGGCCUCAUUGGAAGGUUGUCAUUUAAUUGUGUCUGUUGUCGGUCUUUGUCAUUCUGCAGCUAUAGGGGAGUCUUUGAGGGGAUUCAGUCUAACUUGUUAUUUAUUGUUUAAAUUUAAGAUUUAGCACAUUAGUGCUGGAUUUGAAAUUUAUGUAUUCUUGGAAUUUUAGUUAUGAUAAAUCUCAAUUGUUAGAUUUUAUUAUUUUGGAGAUAUUGAUAUUACAGGAAAGAUUCUUUUGGAUUUAUAUAAAUUACAGAAAACAUGUAUAAUUUUAGAAAAUUGUUUUGGGAAGUGGUUUGGGUUAAAUAGGCUUGCCAGGCUAAGGUGAUAGUCUGUGCGCCGGUUACGAC